AACCCCAUCCGGGGGCUCCACAGACUCAGCAUCCGGUCGGAGGGUAGUUCUGAGUUUGUGCUGAACUUGUAGUUUAUAAAGGCAAACAAAGCCAUCCGAAUACAGCCGAUCACAAUGUCCUACACAGCCAGUGUCGUGUCUACCAUCACGCCAAAAAAGAACUUAUGCAGGACUGCCUGUUAGACACUCGCCCACGUUGGGAAAUAUUGGUCCGGGACGCCUGUCACCCGAUAAUCUCUGUACAGCUUCAAGCCGAGCCCCUGAGGCUUUGGUCCAGUGACUCAGCCGCUUUCAUGGAAAUUCACUGCAUUGUCUGGCUAUUGCUUUAAACCAUAAUGAAGACAAUAGUCGUGUAUCUACCCUCAGCCACAGUGUGGUAACAAAGGCGGCUGGCCAUGUAUGUGGUUUGAUCAUCUUGCCUGGAGUUCGUGCUUGUGAACAUCAAAGUCAGUGUACUUUGGGUCUGAUGAAAGAGGCUAGUCGUACACCCGCUGAACGAAUGUUAAUUUUGACUAGGAACCCUGCCAUUUCGUGAAUUCAUAAGAAAUAAAGAGAUGCACAGUUAG
rnacentral:lncRNA from 1 species